AUACGUAGGUGGCGAGCGUUGUCCGGAAUUACUGGGCGUAAAGGGCGUGUAGGCGGCCUUUCAAGUCGGCUGUGAAAUACCCCGGCUCAACCGGGGGGGUGCAGUCGAAACUGGGGGGCUUGAGUGCAGGAGAGGGGGGUGGAAUUCCCGGUGGAGCGGUGAUAUGCGUAGAUAUCGGGAGGAACACCGGUGGCGAAGGCGACCUUCUGGCCUGUUACUGACGCUGAGGCGCGAAAGCCGGGGGAGCAAACAGGAUUAGAUACCCUGGUAGUCCCGGCCGUAAACGCUGGGUACUAGGUGUAGGGGGCUUUGAUGCCUUCUGUGCCGUAGUUAACGCAUUAAGUGCCCCGCCUGGGGAGUACGGUCGCAAGGCUGAA
rnacentral:rRNA from 1 species